CUUGCUUUCUUUGCCGGCGACCGGCGCACGGGUGAGUAACACGUAUCCAACCUGCCCUUUACUCGGGGAUAGCCUUUCGAAAGAAAGAUUAAUACCCGAUGGCAUAAUGAUUCCGCAUGGUUUCAUUAUUAAAGGAUUCCGGUAAAGGAUGGGGAUGCGUUCCAUUAGGUUGUUGGUGAGGUAACGGCCCACCAAGCCUUCGAUGGAUAGGGGUUCUGAGAGGAAGGUCCCCCCACAUUGGAACUGAGACACGGUCCAAACUCCUACGGGAGGCAGCAUG
rnacentral:rRNA from 1 species